GGAGUCGAGCGGGCGAGGUUGCUUCGGUAACUGAGCUAGCGGCGGACGGGUGAGUAAAGCUUAGGAAUCUGCCUAUUAGUGGGGGACAACAUUCCGAAAGGGAUGCUAAUACCGCAUACGUCCUACGGGAGAAAGCAGGGGAUCACUUGUGACCUUGCGCUAAUAGAUGAGCCUAAGUCGGAUUAGCUAGUUGGUGGGGUAAAGGCCUACCAAGGCGACGAUCUGUAGCGGGUCUGAGAGGAUGAUCCGCCACACUGGGACUGAGACACGGCCCAGACUCCUACGGGAGGCAGCAGUGGGGAAUAUUGGACAAUGGGGGGAACCCUGAUCCAGCCAUGCCGCGUGUGUGAAGAAGGCCUUUUGGUUGUAAAGCACUUUAAGCGAGGAGGAGGCUUACCUGGUUAAUACCUGGGAUAAGUGGACGUUACUCGCAGAAUAAGCACCGGCUAACUCUGUGCCAGCAGCCGCGGUAAUACAGAGGGUGCGAGCGUUAAUCGGAUUUACUGGGCGUAAAGCGCGCGUAGGUGGUUAAUUAAGUCAAAUGUGAAAUCCCCGAGCUUAACUUGGGAAUUGCAUUCGAUACUGGUUAGCUAGAGUAUGGGAGAGGAUGGUAGAAUUCCAGGUGUAGCGGUGAAAUGCGUAGAGAUCUGGAGGAAUACCGAUGGCGAAGGCAGCCAUCUGGCCUAAUACUGACACUGAGGUGCGAAAGCAUGGGGAGCAAACAGGAUUAGAUACCCUGGUAGUCCAUGCCGUAAACGAUGUCUACUAGCCGUUGGGGGAUUUGAUCCUUUAGUGGCGCAGCUAACGCGAUAAGUAGACCGCCUGGGGAGUACGGUCGCAAGACUAAAACUCAAAUGAAUUGACGGGGGCCCGCACAAGCGGUGGAGCAUGUGGUUUAAUUCGAUGCAACGCGAAGAACCUUACCUGGCCUUGACAUAGUAGAGACUUUCCAGAGAUGGAUUGGUGCCUUCGGGAAUCUACAUACAGGUGCUGCAUGGCUGUCGUCAGCUCGUGUCGUGAGAUGUUGGGUUAAGUCCCGCACGAGCGCAACCCUUUUCAUACUGCAGCAUUUCGGAUGGACUUUAUGGAUACUGCAGUGAC
rnacentral:rRNA from 1 species